UACGUAGGGUGCGAGCGUUGUCCGGAAUUACUGGGCGUAAAGAGCUCGUAGGUGGUUUGUCGCGUUUGUCCGUGAAAACUCACAACUCAAUUGUGGGCGUGCGGGCGAUACGGGCAGACUGGAGUACUGCAGGGGAGACUGGAAUUCCUGGUGUAGCGGUGGAAUGCGCAGAUAUCAGGAGGAACACCGGUGGCGAAGGCGGGUCUCUGGGCAGUGAACUGACGCUGGAGGAGCGAAAGCGUGGGGAGCGAACAGGA
rnacentral:rRNA from 1 species